AAUGCCUAGGAAUCUGCCUGGUAGUGGGGGAUAACGUUCGGAAACGGACGCUAAUACCGCAUACGUCCUACGGGAGAAAGCAGGGGACCUUCGGGCCUUGCGCUAUCAGAUGAGCCUAGGUCGGAUUAGCUAGUUGGUGAGGUAAUGGCUCACCAAGGCGACGAUCCGUAACUGGUCUGAGAGGAUGAUCAGUCACACUGGAACUGAGACACGGUCCAGACUCCUACAGGAGGCAGCAGUGGGGAAUAUUGGACAAUGGGCGAAAGCCUGAUCCAGCCAUGCCGCGUGUGUGAAGAAGGUCUUCGGAUUGUAAAGCACUUUAAGUUGGGAGGAAGGGUUGUAGAUUAAUACUCUGCAAUUUUGACGUUACCGACAGAAUAAGCACCGGCUAACUCUGUGCCAGCAGCCGCGGUAAUACAGAGGGUGCAAGCGUUAAUCGGAAUUACUGGGCGUAAAGCGCGCGUAGGUGGUUUGUUAAGUUGGAUGUGAAAUCCCCGGGCUCAACCUGGGAACUGCAUUCAAAACUGACUGACUAGAGUAUGGUAGAGGGUGGUGGAAUUUCCUGUGUAGCGGUGAAAUGCGUAGAUAUAGGAAGG
rnacentral:rRNA from 1 species